rnacentral:rRNA from 1 species
AGAGUUUGAUCAUGGCUCAGGACGAACGCUGGCGGCGUGCCUAAUACAUGCAAGUCGAGCGGACUAAUGGGAGCUUGCUCCCGUUAGUUAGCGGCGGACGGGUGAGUAACACGUGGGCAACCUACCUGUAAGACUGGGAUAACUUCGGGAAACCGGAGCUAAUACCGGAUGACAUAAAGGAACUCCUGUUCCUUUAUUGAAAGAUGGCUUUUAGCUAUCACUUAUAGAUGGGCCCGCGGCGCAUUAGCUAGUUGGUGAGGUAACGGCUCACCAAGGCAACGAUGCGUAGCCGACCUGAGAGGGUGAUCGGCCACACUGGGACUGAGACACGGCCCAGACUCCUACGGGAGGCAGCAGUAGGGAAUCUUCCGCAAUGGACGAAAGUCUGACGGAGCAACGCCGCGUGAGUGAUGAAGGCUUUCGGGUCGUAAAGCUCUGUUGUUAGGGAAGAACAAGUGCUAGUUGAAUAAGCUGGCACCUUGACGGUACCUAACCAGAAAGCCACGGCUAACUACGUGCCAGCAGCCGCGGUAAUACGUAGGUGGCAAGCGUUAUCCGGAAUUAUUGGGCGUAAAGCGCGCGCAGGUGGUUUCUUAAGUCUGAUGUGAAAGCCCACGGCUCAACCGUGGAGGGUCAUUGGAAACUGGGAGACUUGAGUGCAGAAGAGGAAAGUGGAAUUCCAUGUGUAGCGGUGAAAUGCGUAGAGAUAUGGAGGAACACCAGUGGCGAAGGCGACUUUCUGGUCUGUAACUGACACUGAGGCGCGAAAGCGUGGAGAGCAAACAGGAUUAGAUACCCUGGUAGU